rnacentral:tRNA from 1 species
GACUGCUUGGCGAAAUGGUAGCGCGUUCGACUCCAGAUCGAAAGGUUCGAUCCCUCAGUGGUCA